GGGCCUUUGGUAUAGCUGGUGCGUACGUUAGACUGAAAAUCUGAAAGACCUAGUUCGAUUCUAGGAGGGCCCACCA
rnacentral:tRNA from 1 species